rnacentral:rRNA from 1 species
CGUAGGUGGCAAGCGUUGUCCGGAUUUAUUGGGUUUAAAGGGUGCGUAGGCGGCUUUGUAAGUCAGUGGUGAAAUACUCCAGCUCAACUGGAGAGGUGCCAUUGAUACUGCAGAGCUAGAGUACUGAUGAGGUAGGCGGAAUGGACGGUGUAGCGGUGAAAUGCUUAGAUAUCGUCCAGAACACCGAUAGCGAAGGCAGCUUACCAAAGAGUAACUGACGCUGAGGCACGGAAGUGUGGGGAUCAAACAGGAUUAGAUACCCUGGUAGUCCACACUGUAAACGUUGAUCACUAGAUGUUGGCGAUACACUGCCAGCGUUCCAGCAAAAGCGAUAAGUGAUCCACCUGGGGAGUACGCCCGCAAGGGUG